AUCUACCCUAACUUAAGAAAUUUAAAUGGCAACCCCUAAUUUUUCUUACUCAAUUCAAUAGAGAAUUCAAUUUUAAAAAGAAUUAUCGUGAAAAUAACUUUUUAUGUUAAACCAUUUUUAAAUAAUCGUCGUUUUAAGGGUAGAAAAGUGUCCUAUUUAAAGGCAGAUUUUGCUAUGAUAAUUUUUAUAAAUUUAAUUUUAUAAAGAUGAUAUCAAUUGCAAAUUAUCUGCAAAUUUAUUAAGAAAAAAAAUUUUUUAUUAAAGCAUGUAAAAAGAACUUAAAUGGAUAUUUUAAAAAUCGCUCUCUUAUACGCGAUCUUUAAUUGGGGUAUUUGUAGAAUAAAGCAUUAUCGAUCCAUGCAUAUCAUAAUGUUUCCGGACUUUUUCCUAUAGGAGUUUUAGCAUUGGUAUCUAACAUACAUAACUAGUGUACACUUUUAUCUGUGACCGUUGAAACGUUUUCAAUUGUUAUAGUCGCUUUAUCGACAAUUAGUGUCAUUUAAAGUACAUCAUGCUGUCAAACAUAUUACAGGUAGUAGUUUGUAAGUUUACACAAAAAUUAUCAGUGAUCAUUAUAACAUUAUUAUUAUUCAAUACGCAACAACGUUUCCAAACUUAUGCCUAUAGGAGUUGUAAUAUACUUUUCAACUACCAACUAAUAAUUAUUUUUAAUUCAGGUUUAAGUAACUUGUCCACAUAUUUUCUAAUAUUACAAUUGAUCUAUCGACAGUUAUGGGAUUAUUUUUAAUAUUAGUGCCUAAAUUCAAUUCUAAUUUAUCUGUAAGUGAUACAGCCCUUAUCAAAGGUAAUGCAACAGUUUGUCGUCGUUUUUAAACCGAUUACUAUUUACCAACUGAUUGUUGUAAUAUUAUUAUGUUAUCAUAAAAUACAGUG